AGAGUGAACGCUGGCGGCAGGCCUAAUACAUGCAAGUCGAACGGCAGCACAGCAGAGCUUGCUCUGUGGGUGGCGAGUGGCGGACGGGUGAGGAAUACAUGGGAAUCUGCCCAGUCGUGGGGGAUAACGUAGGGAAACUUACGCUAAUACCGCAUGCGCCCUUCGGGGAAAGCCGGGACCUUCGGCCUGCGCGAUUGGAUGAGCCAUGUCGGAUUAGCUAGUUGGCGGGGUAACGGCCCGACCAAGGCGACGAUCCGUAGCUGGUCUGAGAGGAUGAUCAGCCACACUGGAACUGAGAACACGGUCCAGACUCCUACGGGAGGCAGCAGAGGGAAUAUUGGACAAUGGGCGCAAGACCUGAUCAGCCAUGCCGCGUGUGGUGAAGAAAGGCCGUCGUGGUAAGUAGUACUUAGUUACGGUAAGAAACG
rnacentral:rRNA from 1 species